ensembl:lncRNA
CCCAGUGCAUGCUGGGAAAUAAAACAAAAUAAUAAAAGAAAGAACGCAAACAAAAACACAAAAGUGCAUGAAUUAUGUUCAUUAAUCUUUCACUCAUCUUUUACUAAAUGAUUUAUUUAUUUACAGUAACAUGAAUAUAAUCAGCAGGUCACAUGACCUAAAGAGAAAAUCAGUGUUUCAUGCUUUGAACAUCAGAUUUAAUAUCAGAUUUAAUAUCAGAUUGUCCAGCAAUAAUCAUGCACAUAGUCUUACUUCAAUACACACAUUAAUCUAACUGUACACACUUCCUCCGUGUGUGUGUGUGUGUGUGUGUGUGUGUGUGUGUGUGUGUGUGUGUGUGUGUGUGUGUGUGUAUAUGUGUGUCAUUUUUAAUAACUUUAAAAAAAAAUCAGCAGGUGACCUUUGGAUAUAACAGAGCAGAUAUUUAUGAGAGAAACUGUUAAAGCAAUGAUAAAGUCAUGUGUAAAUUAAAUAAAAUAUCUGAAUUAAAUCAAACAUCAGACCAGAACAGCAGAAUAACCACAGCACAGGGGAUUCAUUCACACUAUACAAACGACUCCUUAUGAAAUGAAUCAGAAGAAUCAGAACACAUUUACAAGUUAUUUUACACACUAAAUACCUUUUUUUUCUGAAUACCUUUUUUUUGUUAGUUGUAGUAAAUAACUAAAUAAUCAAUCAUUAAAGCAUAAUAAACAGAAAUGUUGUUCGUUAUAUGGGUAAUUUAGGAAGAUUUAAUAAAAUGAGUUGCAUUCGCAAGUCAAAUAAAUAAAAACAUAAUUUAUUUUUUGAAAUGAAUUUACUUACAAUAGAGAAUCAAGUGAAUUAAAACUUCUACAGUUUGAUUCACUUAGAGUUAGCCAAAAAGGAGUCAAAUUACUUAAGUGAGUUUGAAUUGGAAUCAAACGAAUCAAAAAAUUAGUAGCUGGCAAGAACUUAAUCCAAACAAUUAAUUAACAGAAUCAGUGGUUCAAAAGAAUCAGAUGAAUAAAAAUCUCAAUGAUUUGUUUAAACGGCAAUUUUAAAGAACUGAAUCAUUAAAGUGACACAGAGUUGAGUCAAAUCUUUUAAAUGGCAUUAGUGAGUCUUCUGAACAUCGCUAUAUCAUUUGGUUCGUUAGUUAUUACACCAUGCUGCGGGUUUCUGCUCUAACUGAAGAAAUCUGAAGAACUUUCUGAAUAUUUAUUUUACAUUUUAUUUUUAAGUAUGUGUAAAACAGCCGGCAAAUAAAGUCAGCUCAUCUGAGUAAUGGAGUCAGUGAUGUUCCUGUAAGGCACUUGCAUCAGAAAUGACAAAUAUAACACACACAAAUGACUGAGAGCUUCCUUUAAAGAAGAGUUUCUGAAACCUGCAGCUCAUCUUUUUUAUAUUUACAUACAGUAAUUAAUUAAAGAACACAUUUCUAAAAAAAAAACAGUUAGUGACUCGAGCAAGUGUGGCAAGCCAUAAAAAAUAAUAAUGUGAACAAAUUAUGACUAAGUCUGAAAACUUAAGCACUGGUUUAACAAAGAAAAAAACAUCAGGAACGUCACACAGCAGCCAUUUAUUUCCUAAAACAUCUGCAGCUGUUUCCCAAACUCUUAAUAAGUAACAAUAUUCCCAUGUUUGUUGCCCACUAGAGGGCAUCUGAAGUGUUGAAAUGAUCUGAAUUGUUCUAGAUAAGGCUAUAGAAGAAUCUCAAGUGCUAUAGUAAAAGCUCAUGUUCCUAGCAUGUUAACAUGUGUUUACUGGACAUUAGCAGUGUUUAGAUUAAGCUAAUAUAAAAGAAUGCCACUCAGCAGCAUAGAUAUACAUCUUAGUGUGUGUGUGUGUGUGUGUGUGUGUGUGUGUGUGUGUGUGUGUGUGUGUGUGUGUGUGUUGUCCUUGAACAUACAGCAUUUAUUGCUAACAGUUGAAUGCAAAAGCAGCCCCAAGCUAAUGUUAGAUCUGAUCACAGUUUAUGAUAUAUUAUCAGUUUUGUGUCUGAGAGACAUUUCUUUGUGGACUUUAACAGAAUUAUAGGAUUAUCAUUUUCCAGAAGAUCACAUGCUUUUUCACAUUUGUCCAAACUAAAGAGUGGGGUUUGUCUGUCGACAAGUGGGUGUGUCCAUCUCGCUCAUAUAUAAAUACAAAGACACGCCCCUAUAAAUGUUCCUAAUCAGCACACAAAAGAGAUUUCAU